AGACCAGCCCUGGAUUCCCAAGUCCUCCCAGUCACAGGGUUCAGCACUGAACACAGACCGCUCACCAUGGACUUAGGGCUUAUACUGAUUUUCUCUAUCCUUAUUUUAAAAGGUGUUCAGUGUGAGGUGCAGUUGCUGGAGUCUGGGGGAGGCUUAGUGCAGCCUGGAAGGUCCCUGACACUCUCCUGUGCAGCCUCUGGAUUUACCUUCAGUAAUGCUGGCAUGAGCUGGGUCCGCCAGGCUCCUGAGAAGGGGCUGGAGUGGGUCGCAUCCAUUAGCAGUGGUGGUGGUACCACCAGGUAUAUUGAGGCUGUGAGGGGACGGUUCACAAUCUCCAGAGACAAUGCCAAGAACACUCUGUACCUGGAAAUGAACAGUCUGAAGCCUGAGGACACAGCCAUGUAUUACUGUGCAAGAGGCACAGUGAGUGAAAGCUGUUAA